rnacentral:lncRNA from 1 species
AUGAGUAAAUGGCGAAAACCAUAUAAUUAUAACAUAUAUUUUUAUUUUACUUAUUUUAGGUCUGUGAAGCCAAACUUGAUGCUGGGGAUUUAUUUUUGUCAGUGGAGUCAAAUGGUCUAGAUGAUCA